rnacentral:rRNA from 1 species
UACGGAGGGGGCUAGCGUUGUCCGGAAUCAUUGGGCGUAAAGAGCGUGUAGGCGGCCCGGUAAGUCCGCUGUAAAAGUCAAAGGCUCAACCUUUGAAUGUCAGUGGAUACUGCCGGGCUAGAGUCCGGAAGAGGCGAGUGGAACUCCUGGUGUAGCGGUGGAAUGCGCAGAUAUCAGGAAGAACACCAACGGCGAAGGCAGCUCGCUAGGACGGUACUGACGCUGAGACGCGAAAGCGUGGGGAGCGAACAGG